rnacentral:tRNA from 10 species
GCCCCUAUAGUUCAACGGAUAGAACAGCGGAUUCCUAAUCCGCAGAUGAAGGUUCGAUUCCUUCUGGGGGUACCA